rnacentral:tRNA from 1 species
ACAUCUAUGGUUGAAUGGUUAAAUCACCCAACUCAUAAUUGGUGAAAUCGCAGGUUCAAUUUCUGCUAGAAGCA